rnacentral:rRNA from 1 species
CCUACGGGUGGCAGCAGUGGGGAAUUGUUCGCAAUGGGCGCAAGCCUGACGACGCAACGCCGCGUGGAGGAUGAAGGUCUUCGGAUUGUAAACUCCUGUUGACCGGGACGAAUGGCCCGCGAGUGAACAUCUCGAGGGAGUGACGGUACCGGUUGAGGAAGCCACGGCUAACUCUGUGCCAGCAGCCGCGGUAAUACAGAGGUGGCAAGCGUUGUUCGGAAUUACUGGGCGUAAAGGGCGCGUAGGCGGCCUUCUAAGUCGGACGUGAAAUCCCACGGCUCAACCGUGGAACCGCAGGGCGAACUGCUGGUCUUGAGGAAGCUAGAGGCUGGUAGAACGAUAGGUGGAGCGGUGGAAUGCGUAGAGAUCUAUCGGAAUGCCGAAAGUGAAGACAGCCAGCUGGGGCUUUCCUGACGCUAAAGCACGAAAGCGUGGGGAGC